AUCUUGACAGAUUAAGAGACGAUAGGGUUAUGGUCUACACUCAACGAGCCCAGUGGCGUUGAUGGAGCCUAACUUAGUGACUACGUAUAAUUCCACUGUAUUAUCUGCCAGCUUGAGCUGUGCCUAAGCUAUGAUUCAGGGAUAGCACAGUAAGCACACAGACUUGGAUUCUAUCAAAUCCGGGUCGUUACAUGGCACCUGGGGAAUCCAGUGUUGUCCAAGGAGAUCCCGGGGUAUCCGUGUGACCAUCCUAUGGUUUGCCACCCAGGCUCAAAGGGAUCAUAAGAUUAUUAAUGCUAGAAACUUCUGUGUGCAGCCACAAGCCAUUAUGGGCUCUAGCAUAGUUGAGUAAGUUGUGGGAAUCCUUUCCAUGAUGGGCUAGCAGAUGUAGGGGAUUGUAGGUGUACCGGCCUAUGUAUCGGUUAAGGGGACCUCUUCGGAAAUACUGUGUCUCGGUCAUCUGUUUCUCAAACAUCAUGUAGUGUAAGAAAUACAAUGGAGGAGAUCGAGUCUUGUGAGGAAAAGUGUGCAAGCCUCUGCAGAGUGUACAAACUAAUCAUAGUUAGCCGUGUCCCCGAUUAUGGACAUCUUGAGUAUCUGGUGUUUGAAUUAUUAUCUUGUUCUCAGCACAUCGCUUAAUUAAUUUGUCGGGUUAUAACUUUUA